GCACUGCUAAGGAGUCCUAUAAUAGGACGAAACAGCCGUCUAGUGC
rfam:Schistosoma rodhaini strain Burundi genome assembly, scaffold: SROB_scaffold0000289